GAUGAAGAACGUAGCGAAAUGCGAUACGUAAUGUGAAUUGCAGAAUUCAGUGAAUCAUCGAAUCUUUGAACGCAUAUUGCGCUCUCUGGUAUUCCGGGGGGCAUGCCUGUCCGAGCGUCAUUACAACCCUCAAGCUCAGCUUGGUGUUGGGCCCCGCCGCCCCGGCGGGCCCUAAAGUCAGUGGCGGUGCCGUCCGGCUCCGAGCGUAGUAAUUCUUCUCGCUCUGGAGGUCCGGUCGUGUGCUUGCCAGCAACCCCCAAUUUUUUUCAGGUUGACCUCGGAUCAGGUAGGGAUACCCGCUGAACUUAAGCAUAUCAAUAAGCGGAGGA
rnacentral:misc_RNA from 1 species